CCCAACUGUGCUCAUUAUCCCGGUGGUGAUCUGUUGCAUCUGCUGCUGCAUGAAUACUGACAAUGAGCCACAACCACCAGAGAAAAUAGAAACGGAGUCAGAGACCUGUAUACAGACAUGCAACACAGUGAUUGUCCCUUGUUGUUCGUACCAGGAAGACAACAUGAGACGCCUAGAGGGCAAACUGGAUACCUUGUGUGACUUUGUUCAAAGCUUCAACCAGCUGCCAUUGAUGUGGAGUCAGCCUAGGG